rnacentral:rRNA from 1 species
GAUGAACGCUAGCUACAGGCUUAACACAUGCAAGUCGAGGGGCAUCAGUUUGGUUUGCUUGCAAACCAAAGCUGGCGACCGGCGCACGGGUGAGUAACACGUAUCCAACCUGCCUCAUACUCGGGGAUAGCCUUUCGAAAGAAAGAUUAAUAUCCGAUAGCAUAUAUUUCCCGCAUGGGUUUUAUAUUAAAGAAAUUCGGUAUGAGAUGGGGAUGCGUUCCAUUAGUUUGUUGGCGGGGUAACGGCCCACCAAGACUACGAUGGAUAGGGGUUCUGAGAGGAAGGUCCCCCACAUUGGAACUGAGACACGGUCCAAACUCCUACGGGAGGCAGCAGUGAGGAAUAUUGGUCAAUGGACGCGAGUCUGAACCAGCCAAGUAGCGUGAAGGAUGACUGCCCUAUGGGUUGUAAACUUCUUUUAUAUGGGAAUAAAGUGGUCCACGUGUGGAUUUUUGUAUGUACCAUAUGAAUAAGGAUCGGCUAACUCCGUGCCAGCAGCCGCGGUAAUACGGAGGAUCCGAGCGUUAUCCGGAUUUAUUGGGUUUAAAGGGAGCGUAGGCGGAUUGUUAAGUCAGUUGUGAAAGUUUGCGGCUCGACCGUAAAAUUGCAGUUGAUACUGGCAGUCUUGAGUGCAGUAGAGGUGGGCGGAAUUCGUGGUGUAGCGGUGAAAUGCUUAGAUAUCACGAAGAACUCCGAUUGCGAAGGCAGCUCACUGGA